rnacentral:rRNA from 1 species
ACAGCAGCCGCCGCGGGAAUACGAAGGGGGCUAGCGUUGUUCGGAAUUACUGGGCGUAAAGCGCACGUAGGCGGAUAUUUAAGUUAGGGGUGAAAUCCCGCAGCUCAACUGCGGAACUGCCUUUGAUACUGGGUAUCUUGAGUAUGGAAGAGGUUAGUGGAAUUGCGAGUGUAGGGGUGAAAUUCGUAGAUAUUCGCAGGAACACCAGUGGCGAAGGCGGCUAACUGGUCCAUAACUGACGCUGAGGUGCGAAAGCGUGGGGAGCAAACGGGAUUAGAUACCCCGGUAGUCCCUGUCUCUUAUAC